UACGGAGGGAGCUAGCGUUGUUCGGAAUUGCUGGGCGUAAAGCGCACGUAGGCGGCUUUGUAAGUUAGCGGUGAAAGCCCGGGGCUCAACUCCGGAACUGCCUUUAAGACUGCAUCGCUUGAAUCCAGGAGAGGUGAGUGGAAUUCCGAGUGUAGAGGUGAAAUUCGUAGAUAUUCGGAAGAACACCAGUGGCGAAGGCGGCUCACUGGACUGGUAUUGACGCUGAGGUGCGAAAGCGUGGGGAGCAAACAGG
rnacentral:rRNA from 1 species